rnacentral:lncRNA from 1 species
GACACGGAGGGCCCGGGCGGGGAAGGGUGGGGGGCUUGCAGGGGUGCCUGGGUCGGGGGCUGCAGGUGGGAGUGAGCAAAUGUGCUGUCUCGCCACCUCGGGACAGGUGGUAGGGCCUCUGACACAGAGUGGUCCUUCCUGCUGUUCACAGCUCAGCUCACCGUGGGCUGACCAUAGAUUCUCGUUGAAAUCCUAACGCCCCAGGCAAUGAUGUUAGGAGGCGGGGCUUCUGGGAGAUGGCAAGUUCGUGAGGCUGCAGCUCUGCUGGGGGAUCAGUGUCCUUCUACAAGCGGCUCCAGGGAGGUCCCUUGCCCCUUCCACCAUGUGAGGACCCGAGAUGGUGCCGUCUAUGAACCGGGAAGUGAGUCCUCUCCGGACGUGGAACAAGUUGGUGCCUUGAUUUUGAACUUGCAGCCUCCAGGUAUGAAUGUGAGCUCUGGGCUCACUGCCUGUGGGGAGCCCUGCCUCACAAGGAGGGGUCCCUCUGCAUCUGCCAUGCAUGGCUGUUUCAAUCAAAGCUGCUGUCUAACACCACCGGCUCGACCUUGAGUUCCUCCCUGAGCAAAGCCAAGCGACCUCCUGGACUGAGCCAGUUUUCGUGCCUGCCUGCCCUGGCUCAUUGGCCAGGGACCCCACCCCGCCAUGUCCAGGCCUUGGUGAUACAGGACAGAGGUGCCCGUGCAGGUUGUGCCUGUGGCUGGGUCCCCAGGGAGAAGGUGGCAACCCCAGGCCAGCAGCCUCCUACCCUGAACUCCAGGCAACAUCGUCGGCCCCCUGGCACUGCACCUGCACUGUGGGCAGAGAAGGAGGGAAGGCUGGGAGAGGAGGAGGAGGUCGAAUGUCGCUGGAGGUCGGCGUCCUUCUGCAGCCGUGGCUUCAUGGGGUUUAAGUACGAUGAUGCUGCAUUGAGACGUUGUACUGUGUGAAGUCAGGGCCUUCUGUGCAUCGGUCGAGGGUGCAAUGCACACGGCACCCCCGAGCAGCCACCCAUCCUCCCUUCCCUCCACCCUGCGAGGCCCCGUUGUCCGUCUGUCCACACUCUGCUCCAUGAGCACACGUGACUUAGCUUCGCCUUGUGAGCCGCUGCUUGGGGUGAGCAUGCUUCCUGCUGGAUGCUUCUCUAUGUAAGCACCUGCCUGAGUGUCAGCCCUCUUAAGGUGAACCGCUCCGUGUCAUUCGUACAUUCACAAGUUUGUGCCGCCAUCAUCGUGAUCGGAUUCCAAAACAUUUUCAUCACCUCCAAGAAAGCCUUGUACCUGGCAGCAGUCACUGUCUCUAUGGAUUUGCUUAUUCUGGACAUUUCAUAAAAAUAGAAUCAAACAGCAUUUGGC